rnacentral:rRNA from 1 species
AACGGGGAGCAGCCCAGAGCCUGAAUCAGUGUGUGUGUUAGUGGAAGCGUCUGGAAAGGCGCGCGAUACAGGGUGACAGCCCCGUACACAAAAAUGCACAUACUGUGAGCUCGAUGAGUAGGGCGGGACACGUGGUAUCCUGUCUGAAUAUGGGGGGACCAUCCUCCAAGGCUAAAUACUCCUGACUGACCGAUAGUGAACCAGUACCGUGAGGGAAAGGCGAAAAGAACCCCGGCGAGGGGAGUGAAAAAGAACCUGAAACCGUGUACGUACAAGCAGUGGGAGCACGCUUAGGCGUGUGACUGCGUACCUUUUGUAUAAUGGGUCAGCGACUUAUAUUCUGUAGCAAGGUUAACCGAAUAGGGGAGCCGAAGGGAAACCGAGUCUUAACUGGGCGUUAAGUUGCAGGGUAUAGACCCGAAACCCGGUGAUCUAGCCAUGGGCAGGUUGAAGGUUGGGUAACACUAACUGGAGGACCGAACCGACUAAUGUUGAAAAAUUAGCGGAUGACUUGUGGCUGGGGGUGAAAGGCCAAUCAAACCGGGAGAUAGCUGGUUCUCCCCGAAAGCUAUUUAGGUAGCGCCUCGUGAAUUCAUCUCCGGGGGUAGAGCACUGUUUCGGCAAGGGGGUCAUCCCGACUUACCAACCCGAUGCAAACUGCGAAUACCGGAGAAUGUUAUCACGGGAGACACACGGCGGGUGCUAACGUCCGUCGUGAAGAGGGAAACAACCCAGACCGCCAGCUAAGGUCCCAAAGUCAUGGUUAAGUGGGAAACGAUGUGGGAAGGCCCAGACAGCCAGGAUGUUGGCUUAGAAGCAGCCAUCAUUUAAAGAAAGCGUAAUAGCUCACUGGUCGAGUCGGCCUGCGCGGAAGAUGUAACGGGGCUAAACCAUGCACCGAAGCUGCGGCAGCGACGCUUAUGCGUUGUUGGGUAGGGGAGCGUUCUGUAAGCCUGCGAAGGUGUGCUGUGAGGCAUGCUGGAGGUAUCAGAAGUGCGAAUGCUGACAUAAGUAACGAUAAAGCGGGUGAAAAGCCCGCUCGCCGGAAGACCAAGGGUUCCUGUCCAACGUUAAUCGGGGCAGGGUGAGUCGACCCCUAAGGCGAGGCCGAAAGGCGUAGUCGAUGGGAAACAGGUUAAUAUUCCUGUACUUGGUGUUACUGCGAAGGGGGGACGGAGAAGGCUAUGUUGGCCGGGCGACGGUUGUCCCGGUUUAAGCGUGUAGGCUGGUUUUCCAGGCAAAUCCGGAAAAUCAAGGCUGAGGCGUGAUGACGAGGCACUACGGUGCUGAAGCAACAAAUGCCCUGCUUCCAGGAAAAGCCUCUAAGCAUCAGGUAACAUCAAAUCGUACCCCAAACCGACACAGGUGGUCAGGUAGAGAAUACCAAGGCGCUUGAGAGAACUCGGGUGAAGGAACUAGGCAAAAUGGUGCCGUAACUUCGGGAGAAGGCACGCUGAUAUGUAGGUGAAGUCCCUCGCGGAUGGAGCUGAAAUCAGUCGAAGAUACCAGCUGGCUGCAACUGUUUAUUAAAAACACAGCACUGUGCAAACACGAAAGUGGACGUAUACGGUGUGACGCCUGCCCGGUGCCGGAAGGUUAAUUGAUGGGGUCAGCGCAAGCGAAGCUCUUGAUCGAAGCCCCGGUAAACGGCGGCCGUAACUAUAACGGUCCUAAGGUAGCGAAAUUCCUUGUCGGGUAAGUUCCGACCUGCACGAAUGGCGUAAUGAUGGCCAGGCUGUCUCCACCCGAGACUCAGUGAAAUUGAACUCGCUGUGAAGAUGCAGUGUACCCGCGGCAAGACGGAAAGACCCCGUGAACCUUUACUAUAGCUUGACACUGAACAUUGAGCCUUGAUGUGUAGGAUAGGUGGGAGGCUUUGAAGUGUGGACGCCAGUCUGCAUGGAGCCGACCUUGAAAUACCACCCUUUAAUGUUUGAUGUUCUAACGUUGACCCGUAAUCCGGGUUGCGGACAGUGUCUGGUGGGUAGUUUGACUGGGGCGGUCUCCUCCUAAAGAGUAACGGAGGAGCACGAAGGUUGGCUAAUCCUGGUCGGACAUCAGGAGGUUAGUGCAAUGGCAUAAGCCAGCUUGACUGCGAGCGUGACGGCGCGAGCAGGUGCGAAAGCAGGUCAUAGUGAUCCGGUGGUUCUGAAUGGAAGGGCCAUCGCUCAACGGAUAAAAGGUACUCCGGGGAUAACAGGCUGAUACCGCCCAAGAGUUCAUAUCGACGGCGGUGUUUGGCACCUCGAUGUCGGCUCAUCACAUCCUGGGGCUGAAGUAGGUCCCAAGGGUAUGGCUGUUCGCCAUUUAAAGUGGUACGCGAGCUGGGUUUAGAACGUCGUGAGACAGUUCGGUCCCUAUCUGCCGUGGGCGCUGGAGAACUGAGGGGGGCUGCUCCUAGUACGAGAGGACCGGAGUGGACGCAUCACUGGUGUUCGGGUUGUCAUGCCAAUGGCACUGCCCGGUAGCUAAAUGCGGAAGAGAUAAGUGCUGAAAGCAUCUAAGCACGAAACUUGCCCCGAGAUGAGUUCUCCCUGACCCUUUAAGGGUCCUGAAGGAACGUUGAAGACGACGACGUUGAUAGGCCGGGUGUGUAAGCGCAGCGAUGCGUUGAGCUAACCGGUACUAAUGAACCGUGAGGCUUAACCUUACAACGCCGAAGCUGUU